rnacentral:lncRNA from 1 species
UGUGUGUGUGUGUCACUACCAUAACAUUCAGGUACGGAACACAUUUAAAAGCGGUGUCUUGUUGCUGCUGCUGCUUUCAAAGCAGGUUUUUUUUAUUUCCUGACAACCAAAACGUCUUUGUUAGAGAUAGUAGGAUAUCAGUGAGGUGGGUCACCGAGGUAGCCGGCCCUUUCAACACGCUACACUUUAUAAAACCCUGUCAGCUAUAGACCAACCUUAUCCACAGGCUGAGGUGAACAAACCUCUGGUAUCUACGGCCAUGUUAGCUUCAUUGUUUAGAUUGUAUUAUCGUUUUAUCAAUAACCGCAGUCAAAAGCUGCCAGCUGCAUUCUAUUCAAUCCCUCAAACCAAUAAACACAGGCAGAGGAAGGUUCUCCUCAGAACAACAGUCAGAGGAAGGUUCUCCUCAGAACAACAGACAGAGGAAGGUUCUCCUCAGAACAACAGACAGAGGAAGGUUCUCCUCAGAACAACAGACAGAGGAAGGUUCUCAUCAGAACAACAGACAGAGGAAGGUUCUCCUCAGGACAACAGACAGAGGAAGGUUCUCCAGAGAACAACAGACAGAGGAAGGUUCUCAUCAGAACAACAGACAGAGGAAGGUUCUCCUCAGAACAACAGACACAGGAAGUGGUUUGAUUUUAAUUAAGGAAAGACACUAUCUGCAUCUCUUACUUUCUCUCUCUUUUUUUUUAAUAGAAAUCAUUUUUUGCACAAUAUGAAAAAAUGUUCCUCACAUCUAAGACGAACUAACAUGGUAAAGGAAGUAAAGAAAGGAAGGAGAAGCAUUCAGCAUGGUGGUGUAUAAAUGAGUCUGAUCAGUAAAGACAGACUUCAUCACAGUAGGCAAUGGGAUGGAGACUGGUCCAGGGUCCUUUGUCUUGGGAAUGUCCACGGUAUUUAGCUGUGGGGGAAAUGAGGGAUUGAUAUGAGUUUCAUUUGUUGUUUUGUGAAGUUAUAA